CCCUUAGAUGUUCUGGGCUGCACGCGCGCUACACUGAUGCGCUCAACGAGUUUUAACCUUGCCUGGAAAGGUUGGGUAAUCUUUUUAAAACGCAUCGUGAUGGGGAUAGAUUAUUGCAAUUAUUAAUCUUCAACGAGGAAUUCCUAGUAAACGCAGAUCAUCAAUCUGCAUUGAUUACGUCCCUGCCCUUUGUACACACCGCCCGUCGCACCUACCGAUUGGAUGGUCCGGUGAAGCCUCGGGAUUGUGGUUCUUGCCGCUUUAUUGUGGCGUGACCGCGAGAACUUGUCUAAACCUUAUCAUCUAGAGGAAGGUGAAGUCGUAACA
rnacentral:rRNA from 1 species